GAUGAACGCUGGCGGCGGGCCUAAUACAUGCAAGUCGAGCGGCGCGGGGACGGGUGAGUAAAAAGUGGAUAACCUCCUAUAGGACUGGGAUAACUUCGGGAAACCGGCGCUAAACCGGAUACUGACAGAUGUAUCCGUGCGGCAUUAGAUAGUUGGUAAGGUAACGGCUUACAAAGGCAACGAUGCAUAGCCGACCUGAGAGGGUGAUCGGCCACACUGGAACUGAUACACGGUCCAGACUCUUACGGGAGGAAGCAGUAGGGAAUAUUGCAAAAUGGGCGAAAGCCUGACAGAGCAACGCCGCGUGAGUGAUGAAGGUCUUCGGAUCGUAAAACUCUGUAAGGAGGGAGGCGGUACCUAAACAGAAAGCAACGUCUAACUCCGUGCCAGCAGCCGCGGUAAUUC
rnacentral:rRNA from 1 species